rnacentral:pre_miRNA from 1 species
CCUCCCAUCAGAGUGGUUGUGAUGUGGUGUUAUUGAUUCAUAUCACAGCCAGCUUUGAUGAGCGGAA